ACUUGGCAUUCAGAACCAGGAAUGUUUUACUUUGCUUUCAUGAGUUGGCUCAGCGGGAUGUGAUAUAGCUCCCCUGGGUCUGGAUUCAGGAGGGUACCGGGCUGAGACUGGGUGUGGUCUCGGGACUUUGCCUGGUUUACAACUGGCGCUGGAAAGAGGGGAGUCAUCUUCGUGGGUUUGCCUGCCACCCAGCUGAUGCUGUCUGAGGUGUAAAUCUGUGUGGCGUGUGUUGGGGUUGGCGGCUGGUCGGAUCCCACUUCAGAGCUUCUCUGCGAUGGUCAGGGUGCUAAGGAUGGUUCCUCGGGGGGGGGCAAAUAUUUAAUAAUCCCCUUCAGUGAUAGUAAUACAACAGUUACGGUUCUUGUGUGUCCUGCCCUGUGCACAGAGCUCGGGAUUUCCUGCCCAGUGCGGGAAGAAUAGGAGCCCACACAUCUGCACGUCGUUUCACCGUGGAUAUUGUCUCCUUGGCAGGAGAUGAUGUUUGCGCUGCUUAAUCGCGCUUUCACGGCUGCCCUCGCUCCAGGGCCGAGAGGCAUAGUGGGCGGCUGCCACGUUCACCCGGAUCCGUUUCUCCGAAGGCAGAACCCUCUUGAAAUUGGACUGCCUUCCGCCCACCGGAGAGAAGGGAAAAACAUGUUUUUUUAGUCUUAAACGACACAAUAUUUGGGCUGAAGCCACUACAUUAUAAUCAUGCCUUUGAUGGCAAGCGAGUGAGCGCAGUCUCGGGGUCCCUUUCGGCGAUGGCUGCGGUUCAACACAUGCGGAGGCACGGCUGGUUAGCGGAGCAGCGUUGGAGGAGCUGCAAGCGGGGAAUAAAUUGCAGGAGCAGCGGUGCUGAUCAAGCAGAAAGAGUUGUAAUGCAGAGAGGUGUGUCGCUGCAGCGGCUCCGGUCCAGGGUACGACACCAGAGCUCCCAGAGGAACGUCAAACAGCACGGCCACUGAGGCUCACCCUGUUCCACAUAACAGAGAUUUUUACUUAACUUGGAUCACGAACCCCCCCUCUGAGGACCGACAGCAGCCCCCUGCCCCCUCUUGGGAUUCGAACCAUCAGCCUCUGUGGAACACAAAAGUGACUCUUCCUGCAGGCACUGCUGGGCUGCAGGUAAUUGCCCUGCUGGGUGAAUUGAGGUUACCGCAGUACUCCAAACCGCACUGCCACACAUUUGGCUGCAUAAAUUCUUAAUGUGCAAAUUGUUAAAAGCUAUGCAAAUUGCCCCGGAGGAGGGUAUCAGCUUUGCAAAUAAAUUAUGUAUCGUUCCUGUUCCCA
rnacentral:lncRNA from 1 species